rnacentral:misc_RNA from 1 species
GAAAUGCGAUAAGUAGUGUGAAUUGCAGAAUUCAGUGAAUCAUCGAAUCUUUGAACGCACAUUGCGCCUCCUUGUAUUCAGGGAGGCAUGCCUGUCCGAGCGUCAUUUAAAACCACUCAAGCUGUUGUGCUUGGUCAUGGAAGAAGAGUCCGCUUUUCCGGUCUCCUUUCCGAAAUACAAUGGCGGAAGGUCUCUGGUACCCGGCGUAGUAAUAACUGUUCGCCUUGUGUCUCGAGAUGUUUCUGCCGUCAAACCCCCAAUUCUUCUUAGGUUGACCUCGGAUCAGGUAGGGAUACCCGCUGAACUUAA